rnacentral:rRNA from 1 species
UACAGAGGGGGGCAAGCGUUGUUCGGAAUUACUGGGCGUAAAGGGCGCGUAGGCGGCCUGCUAAGUCGAACGUGAAAUCCCUGGGCUCAACCCAGGAACUGCGUCCGAUACUGGUUGGCUUGAAUCCGGGAGAGGGAUGUGGAAUUCCAGGUGUAGCGGUGAAAUGCGUAGAUAUCUGGAGGAACACCGGUGGCGAAGGCGGGUCUCUGGGCAGUAACUGACGCUGAGGAGCGAAAGCGUGGGGAGCGAACAGG